rnacentral:lncRNA from 1 species
AUGAGAAGGUAGAUAAUACUCUCGCUUCAGCAGAAACAAUUUCUUCAAUAUUCCCACAAGAAAGCAUUCUAUUGAUAUUCACUUGCAAUUUGGAGUUGAUUUGAGUCACUGAUUACACACUUUGUGCAAAAGAAUAAGAUGGAAUUGGUUCACAAAGACUCCUCAUGACUCUCCCACAGAUGUAAAAGACUUACAGAAACA